UGGACCCAAAGUUCCUGAGGAACCUGAGGUACUCAAGGAAGAACAACAAGAAGAGCGGUGAGGCUGAAGCCGAGGAGUAAGAUGGAAGUUUAUGCUCAUGGAGAAGCAUGGAUGUGUUUCCCCUUCCUAGCUCAGUUUUACCUUUAGGAUCUGGAGUUUCGCUUAAGAUGGAAUUUAAAUGGUCUUAUGUAUGAUGGCAAGGACCCUCUUUUGCUGCAGAAGUGUUACUGCCGUAAUAUUACGAUAUUAUGUGUUAAGUUCAUGCUACUCUUUGACUUGUUGUUUUACCUUCUCUCUAACUGGUUAUCUGCUUGGAGGUCAACAUUGGAUUUAAAGCGUGCUGUCAGCCAUUGACUCUAGGCUCGUGCCGUUUGCCAUUGUGAUUGACGCGACUAUGUCAGCCAGUGCAGAACACGUUGGUGCAAUGCGACCAAGGGGCUGUUUGGAUACCCGUGGUUAUUGUUGCAUCGAAUGUUUGGAGGGUAAUUAGAAGGACUAAACAUGAGCUAAUUAUAAAACUAAUUGUAGAAGUAGAUACCAGUGGUUAUUGUUGCAUCGAAUGUUCGGAGGGUAAUUAGAAGGACUAAACAUGAGCUAAUUAUAAAAUUAAUUGUAAAACUUCUAGCCUAAUUCGCGAGAUGAAUCUAUUAAACUUAAUUAAUUCAUCAAGCAAAUGGUUACUGUAGCACUACAUUGUCAAAUCAUGGACUAAUUAGGCGUAAUAGAUUUAUCUCACGAAAUAGCCUUCAUAUGUGUAUUUUAUAUUUAGACUAUAUUUAAUACUUCUAAUUAAUAUCUAAAUAUUAUGUGAAAGGGCUAAAGUUUAGACUCCCUUAAACCAAACAUCCCCUAAAUUUUUGGACCAGAGUAUGCAGGACAAUAGUUGAAGACAUGUCUGAAUCUUUUGUUCCAGUAGAAAACUCUAGUGAUUGAUUCAUGUACGUGCUCGUGGAUCUGACAUCUGAGCUCGCCUCGCCUCACAGGCUCGCAGUUCGCAAGCGCUGUGCUCCGACGACCGGCUUCCAUCGUUGCCGCCGGCGUCAAGCCCGCGGCCUUUUCGAAUUGUAAUUUGGAAGGAAGUAAGUACAUAUAUGCAUAUAUGAUGCUACAGACAGGCUCGAAAGCUGUAGUACUCCUUGCCUCAGGAUAAGCACGGGCGUUUGCAACAUACGGCUCUUCGCGCAGUGGUUCCGUGGGACUCAAGUUGAACUACGGUUAACUGAACAAGCUGUACAGAUUACAGAGGUGUGUAGCUCAACACGCAGAACAGAAUGUGAUAUUCCGUUUCAAAAAAAAAAACAUAGAGGUGUGUAAGUUUUUUUUUUCCGCCGGGUGUUUUACUGCUAUACAUGACUGAGAAGAAGCUCUUUGGCAACAUAAUUAUUCAUCACAAUAUAAGAAGCAGUUCCUUUUUUCAAGUCAGGUAUCCCCAUACAUACAAGUUUCAUACAUCAUUCAGACAAAGAAGUAAAGACAGGAGGGAACUAAGAACAUGCCUGUAAACUUGCAAGCAGACCAACCAGGUCUCUAGAUCAACACACAAGCAAUGAUGUUAGAGAACCCACAUAACUCCAAAACCAUUACAAACGUAGACAGCAACAUCGUUGCUGCUAACCGUCAUUAACACCAUCAGCAGCCAAAAGGAAGAGAGCGCCUAUGAUCAUGCAAUAACAAGCAUCAAGCAUUUUGAUGUACUACACCUCCGGCUAAAAUCUAAAUAUAUACAGGCUGGUCCUGGAAUGGGUGCAGUCAGACUAUUACUCUCUUGGCAAAUGAUAUUGCCAUCAAUAUUUGUAUCAGCCACAUGAAACGUAAUGCCAGUAUGGUUUGAUCUAAAAAAAUGACUUUAUCAGGUUUCUGAAUCUAGUUUAUCAGAUCAGAGGUUGGUUGGUGGUCAACCUUUUUUUGUCUCGGAGUAUCCAACUUAGUACUGAGUUUCAACUACAGAAAGUACUAUCGAAGUGUCUCACAAGAUAGGUAUAAAAGAUGCAUCAAGUAGCUUGUUCAUUCAGAGAAGGAUGAGUUAAAUCAGAACAAAUAGAGACCGAUAUGGCGGUAUAUCGAAGCAGAUCUAAGCAUUGCGGGAACAGUGACCUCCAAUCAUUUCAGAACUUGCGCACUAAAAUGGUAGGCUGAAACACAAAGAAGCAGAAGCUGAAACACAAAAACCCAGUUGGCUUAUCAGGAAACCAGAGCACAUAACUGAUUGGAUGCAAAGAUAAUUGCAUGUUCAGCUAUCUCUGAGAAAACAAAAGGCACACUGAGUAAGAACUAUAUGCCUAGUAAUAUUAGUCACUUCGAGCAUACCACCAAUAAACUGCAGGCUCACAUUAAGUCUUAACUAAUCUCUAAUGACUGAAAGGAAUUGACUGUCAACUUCGAGCACAUGACCUUGUAGCAGGCAAUUCUAUUUGAGCGACAUAUGAAUUAGCAUUGUUUAGAAACAAUAACCCAGCUUCUAUGGUUAACAAAAUUGCUAGUCGAAUACCGCUGCUUACACUCUAGAACCUUAAAACUAAUGCAUGGAAAAUGAGCUCCGAAGUAACGUGAAUCACUGGUUUCUUUGGUUUCUACUCCAUAGUUAGUAACCCUGACUUUUGACUAUCACAUCGAUUAAUAUAUAAGCACAAGAAAUAAUACUCAAAUAAGAUUGGAAUGGCAAACAGUGCAGCCGCAGGCCAAAGCUGAUCCAACCUGCCCAAAGACCAUGUUUAAAAAAAUUGUACUGCCUUAGCUACCAUUUUGUUUUUAACAUUUUUGCCAAUGUGAGACUGUUCGGGCUACCAUUGCUAAUGGAAAAUUACAUGGUGUAAUAGCUCCAACUACCCCACAGACUGCAGUACAAAGAAAAAAGAGAGGAAAAUUGAGGUACAUGACGUGUAAAUCUCCACACACACGAUAAUAAAUACUCAAAAGAAAGAUAAAAAAAAGAACAGCACUUUGUUUAGAAAUCAGCACACAAGAUCAAAAAAUGAACUGCU
rnacentral:lncRNA from 1 species